rnacentral:rRNA from 1 species
AACGAACGCUGGCGGCAGGCCUAACACAUGCAAGUCGAGCGAGCAUUUCGGUGCUAGCGGCGGACGGGUGAGUAACGCGUGGGAACGUGCCCUUUUCUGCGGAAUAGUCCUGGGAAACUGGGGGUAAUACCGCAUACGCCCUUUUGGGGAAAGAUUUAUCGGAGAAGGAUCGGCCCGCGUUGGAUUAGGUAGUUGGUGGGGUAAUGGCCCACCAAGCCGACGAUCCAUAGCUGGUUUGAGAGGAUGAUCAGCCACACUGGGACUGAGACACGGCCCAGACUCCUACGGGAGGCAGCAGUGGGGAAUCUUAGACAAUGGGGGCAACCCUGAUCUAGCCAUGCCGCGUGAGGGAUGAAGGCCUUAGGGUUGUAAAGCUCUUUCAGCUGGGAAGAUAAUGACGGUACCAGCAGAAGAAGCCCCGGCUAACUCCGUG